GCCGAAAUCGCAAUUUACUGAGGUGAAGUCAAGAAAUCUGCAGAUGCUGGAAAUUCAAGCAACACACACACAAAAUGCUGGUGGAACGCAGCAGGCCAGGCAGCAUCUACAGGAAGAGAUUUCAAGAUACCUAGAAGCAUGCCUGAAAUGAAAUGAUCUACUCCAACUAACUGAGUCUGGUACAAGGCGCCAAUCAUCCAGCAACAUUCUCAUGAUUUCACCAUACUGUAAAGCAAAAAAGUAGGUUCAUGUUUCCCCAAGGCAUAACUGCUCAUAACACUAAAGUUAUGGGUGUUACAUAAAAGUUAAAAUUGAUUUUAAGUGUACGUGUAGCAGGGUAAAGUUGAAGUAAUUUACAUUAGAAUCUGGACAUUUUAAACUGAUUUAACUUUGUUAGAACAUAUUCUGAAAUUAAUGUAGCAAAUAUUAACUUCAGCAACUCACUUCAGUAACCAACCUUUAGACCUGAACGUGUAUUUUAGAUUAAAUUUAAAAUGCAGCUUUGGACAAUAGUUGGUCCUGGAGCUGUGGACAUCAGUUAAUUGAAAACAAGACAAUGCAGAUUAACAUUCAUUUUGGGUGUCUGGAAUGUGGGUGUAAAGAUGGCGGUGUGAAAAUAUGUAAUUCAAAGGAAGCAUUGUAGAUGCACUCUAACUAUAGAAUUGUCCUUUAAUCUUUAACAUACAAAAUGUCAUGUAAUAUUGGGUCGAACAGGCCUCUUCCUUCAGAGAAUGGCUCUUUUGGUUGAAUAAAAGACUACUUUUAUAUCUACCAGCUGCGUCUCUCUGGUGACUUUGUCAUGUUACUACAAAUCUUAUUACUCUGCAAAGGGCAAGCUUAUAAAUGCUUGGAAAGAACCCAAUCUGAGUUGCACAAGUAAUAACUUAUACAAUUUUGUUUUGAAAUUUAAAAUAAGUGAACAGCCGCACUGGACAAAUUUAUCCAAUGUACAUUCCAACUGCAAAUUGUGAACACAUAUUGAACAAUACUACAUUGA